GGCAUUUGGACUGCUCAUAGAGACAGUAGGUGCUCUCUUCCUUAAUGUUCUGCGGGAAGGAGCAGGGCGUUACCUGAGGACCCACCGAGCGCUCUUGGUCCACGCGACACGACCGCUGCGCGUCCAUCCACAUCUCCAUACCGGACAGGUGACAGAAAAGUAUACCGGGACCACACACAAAAGCCUCGUUAGAGAAGUGAGCAACUCCACGGUCAACGGGAGCACCUCUGGACACGCCAGUGGAGUUCCACAAUGGCGGCUCUGACUCCUUGGAUCGCAUUUCGCCACACAAUGGAGCCAGACAGAAAGGAAGAAAGCGGAUUUUAGUGCCACAAUAAAUGAAAAUGGGGAGCAUGUGGAAACUGAAUGUAUUCACACACUGCUUCACAUGUGUGCAGUAAAACGCAUUUCAACACAGAA